rnacentral:lncRNA from 1 species
AGGUUUGAGGGAUUUUAGCAAGGGCUCAGAUGAGAGCUGUGCAUAGGAUACCUCAUCUGCCCUUCCAGUUUUUUUGUUUUUUGUUUUCAAACCUGGAUAAACACAGUUCGCUUGCUUCUGUAAUGACUGAUGAAGACCUUGCGGAACGAAGGAGAAUAUUCACUGUAGUCAACUUGCUGGGUUGAGCCUCUAAAGCUGUGGGGACUGCUCUGGUAAGGAGUAUGCGUGUCAAGCGUGGUUGCUAGGUCUGUGCUUUUCCUAGCCUUUUGCUAGCAACUUCCCUAAGUAUGAGAGCGGCAGAGCAAAACCAGGAGCAUCCACAACAACCUGGGUGAGAGGCUAAACUCAAACCAUGUUGCCUACCCCUCCUCUCUCCUUCCCCUGCCAUCCAUCCCUGAACAGGUUCUACUUUAAGGGUGCCCUCACCUUUCCCCCAGUCUUGGCUUGGAUUCUAAGUAUGUGCUAUUCUCUGUCUCCCCGGCUUCCUCAGGCGGGAGCGCUCUAGGCUCCGCUGCCCCUCGGCAUUCAGCCUCCUGUGUGAUUAACCCAGAGGUUGGCCUGACAUUGACCCAGUCCCCAGAUGGAAGAGUCACCUUAUCCUUGAAGCUGUCACUCUUUAUUCGGCACUUUUAUCUUUAUCAGUGCUGUUUUCAUCUUGAAAUAUAAACGCAGGAACGCCUCAAUCUGCAUCUCAACCUAGCCCCAGGCUGAAGGGUUCCGCCAGUGUUAUCAAACACUAAGGUAGGACCUUUAGUUUGUAUUCAGCAUUAGCAGACUAGGUAUUCUCAUGAGAAAUGUAGAGCAAAGAGAAGUGAAACACUCUCUGUCUUCUAGAAACAUAAAACCCCCAGGAGGCAGAUAGCAAUAACCAAAUAACUAAAUAAAUGUAGGCCACUCUUUGAUAAGUGUUAAAACAUAUCCAAAUUAAAAUCCUAUGACAUCUCAAUUCUGAAAACUUAUUUCUACAGAUAUACCUGUGCAUAAAAAAAAAAAUAAGUGGAAUUGCUCAGUGCAGCAUUGCAUGUUCUAGUCAGAGUCAAGGGGCCUUUUGAUUAUUAACAAGGACAAUCUGACAAUUAGGAAAUGCUCUUCAUGGGAUAACAUGGAGUGACCCAAGAUAAAUUUCACAUGAUUAGAAGCAAACGAUAGAACAUGUAUAAUGUAUGUUUUUCUGUGUGGAAAAUCCUGUGAAAUAAUGUGUAUUACUGCUUAUUCACAUAUCCAGGCUUGUGCCGUGGACAAUUCAGUCAAUGGUGGCUCACAGAUAUGGCGGUAGUCCCACAGAUUACCAUGAGUUGGAAAGUUCCUACAACCCAGUGAUGUCUUAGCCACCAUAGCAUAAUAACUCCCAUGCUUGUCGUUACGUUGGUGCAGACAGACCUAUGCCAGCUUCGGAGAAGGGCUGUCUGGGAGUGAUGCUCCUCACCCCUGCAAAGUAGCAGAUGCUACUAGACCAUUUUGAAAAAUAGAGAUGUGGACUUCGGUCUUGGGCAGAAAGUCCACCGUACUGCUUAGUUUCCUGUUCUUUAUGAAUCUAACCAGUCUAUCUCUGUUUUACUAUUUUCCAGUCACUGGAUCAGUCCACGUCAACCUGAACCUGAAAGCCAAAUAUCUUUCCCUCCUUUGUUAGGUUCAUGUUACCCUGAACCUGUGAGCUCAGUAGAAAUUUUCUGGUUAUCUGGAGCCGGCAGUUAUUCAUUAUAGCUCCCCACCACUGACUGACUGAGGGUUAAUUAUCAUCAAACAUCUAUCUGCCCACGGACUAAUGUUGCCUGCACUUUACAGAUAGAGAAAUCAAUUUGCUUCAAUGCGAUUCAUGUCUCAACUUAAGCAUGGUUUAAGAUACAUCUUCUGAGAUACAAAUGCAUUUAAGAAACAUUCUCCUUGGCGUACACUGACCAUAAGAUGAGUGGUUUUCUAAAGUCUGCAUUAUUUGUAAAGAAACUUUUUCUGGUUUUUAUUAUUUUUAAUAGAUAUAUGACAUAUACCUAUGUUUAUCUCACAGAAAUAAUAUUGGAUACAUAAUAGGAAGUUUUCUCCUUUUUGCUCAAAGCAAUACCUAUAAACUGUUUAGAUGGCGGACAUUCAUGCCAGUCCGCUCCGUGUUUGCCUGGUGCCUUUCCUGGAAUCAGAGCCUCCAGCUGGAAUAUUAAACAAUGCCAUAGCUG